rnacentral:lncRNA from 10 species
UAAGAUGCUAAGGAGCUGUCCACACCCUGGGUCUAACUGGUCCUACUCUGGCUGGCUUAAGGAGGUGCUUUGAAAUGUCAUGUGGGUGGUGGUCACUAACAAAGCAGGGUCAUAGCCAGGGGACUGAGAUUGCCACUGAUCUGAAAACUUCAUUGGGAAACAGCAGAAAAGAAAGAGCUGGGGGAAUAGGAUGAGCUAGUGUAACUAACCAUAGCUCUUUUCUCCGGUAAGGCUGGGACAAAUCGACCUCGGACUUGACACCCCCAGAGCUGGAUCCCCGGCCUCCUAUGGAGCCUCCAGAGCUCCCGCCGCCAGAGCCCCGGCCGCCAGAGCUGCC